UGAACCGUGUCUCUGGCAAGUCUGCUGCUCUGCUAAAACACUUCAAUCCCCUCUAUUUAUUUCCACAACGCCAAACAGCUGACGAUUCCUGCAGAAGGGCCAAUGAUUUCCAUUGUUGUCAUAUAUUUCCCCUCUUCCAGACAUAUGUCAAUUUUAUGUCAGAGGAUUAGGGAUGCCAGUUAUUGUUCUGCAGCAUGAGAAUGAUGUCAACUUUCAUACAGAGCCAUUUCUGUGAGAUGUAGACCGCAAAGCAGCUGACAAUUUCUGCAAAGAUGCCAACACAUCACAUCAUUUACAAAACUACAUCCCUGCUCUUCAGCUCUGUCAGUUGUACCCCAGAGAGUUAAAGAGGGAGGGGGGAAAAGAAUGAUGUAAUUUUUCCAGUAGGGCUUUAAAUCUCAGAGUCAUGCUAGUGUGCUGAGCCCUGGAAGAUGAGGAUGAUGAUGAUGAUGAUGAUGAUGAUGAUGAUGGUGCUGGUGGUUAGAGCGGCGGUGAUGAUGAUGGUGCUGGUCAGUGCAGUGGUCAUGGUGGUGAUGACAAUGAUGAUGUCAUUUUCCCUGAAGCCUUUUCCUUUUUAGUUAAUAACAUGAGCCACUUCUCACUUGGUAGUGCUAGGAAUCAGUGCACAUAUGACUUGAGCUGAUUUACCUCUUUUAAUCAAAAACCUUGUUGCGUGGAGGAGGCACUACUACUAAUGUCCUCAGUAAUGUAUCUAUUAAUAUUAAUAUCCCUAAUGUAUUACAUUGGAGGGGAAAUUAGGUUUACUUUGAAUAAUAGCAUGACAUAAAAUUAUUCUAAUCUGAAUGGGUGAAGUUGAUAAUGUUCACAACCCCCCUACCUUGAUGUCUGUAUGUGAGUGAGAGUCUUUUGAUAUUGGUUUUCUCAGUUUGUGUGAAUUUGGGAUACCUAUUGUGUUAUGGUCUUUGUCUGUCUGUUUGUGCUCUGGCUUUUUCUCUCUCUCUCUUCCUCUGUACCUCUUUCUUCAUUUCCUUCCCUCCUGGCAGCGGAGUUGUGGGCGUGCACCUGCUUCCGGGUUUGCCACUCUGACACACCUGCAUCGCAUCUCAAUCACCCACCAGAAUCGUUAAUAGAAGUAUUUAAGGAAGAGUCCGCAAUCCAAUCCCCUCCAGAUGGUUUAGUCAUCUACUGUCUCCUGACUUUCCUGACAGCCUGAACCAGUUUUUGACAAACCUGUUUUUGAAUCAUACAAUCCACCCACCUGCUACGCUGUCUGUCUGUUACUUGGUGUAUCAUGGAAGACACACCGGAACAUCUCUCCGUGGAUUCCACCUGCCUGCUCAGCCCUGGGCCUCACACUCUGCCCAAACUCCUACACUCUCUGUUGUGUUCAAUAAAUCACCUUUAACUUUA